rnacentral:rRNA from 1 species
GCUUGCACUCACCGGUAAAGGGUUGAGUGGCGAACGGGUGAGUAACACGUGGGCAACCUGCCCAAAAGAGGGGGAUAACACUUGGAAACAGGUGCUAAUACCGCAUAACCAUAGUUACCGCAUGGUAGCUAUGUAAAAGGUGGCUAUGCUACCGCUUUUGGAUGGGCCCGCGGCGCAUUAGCCAGUUGGUGGGGUAAAGGCUUACCAAGGCAAUGAUGCGUAGCCGAACUGAGAGGUUGAUCGGCCACAUUGGGACUGAGACACGGCCCAAACUCCUACGGGAGGCAGCAGUAGGGAAUCUUCCACAAUGGGCGAAAGCCUGAUGGAGCAACGCCGCGUGGGUGAAGAAGGUCUUCGGAUCGUAAAACCCUGUUGUUAGAGAAGAAAGUGCGUGAGAGUAACUGUUCACGUUUCGACGGUAUCUAACCUGAAAGCCACGGCUAACUACGUGCCAGCAGCCGCGGUAAUACGUAGGUGGCAAGCGUUAUCCGGAUUUAUUGGGCGUAAAGGGAACGCAGGCGGUCUUUUAAGUCUGAUGUGAAAGCCUUCGGCUUAACCGGAGUAGUGCAUUGGAAACUGGGAGACUUGAGUGCAGAAGAGGAGAGUGGAACUCCAUGUGUAGCGGUGAAAUGCGUAGAUAUAUGGAAGAACACCAGUGGCGAAAGCGGCUCUCUGGUCUGUAACUGACGCUGAGGUUCGAAAGCGUGGGUAGCAAA